rnacentral:rRNA from 1 species
AUUGAACGCUGGCGGCAGGCCUAACAGAUGCAAGUCGAACGAGUGGCGGACGGGUGCGUAAUGUCUGGGAAACUGCCUGAUGGAGGGGGAUAACUACUGGAAACGGUAGCUAAUACCGCAUACCAUCGGAUGUGCCCAUAUGGGAUUAGCUAGUAGGUGAGGUAAAGGCUCACCUAGGCGACGAUCACUAGCUGGUCUGAGAGGAUGACCAGCCACACUGGCACUGAGACACGGGCCAGACUCCGACGGGAGUCAGCAGUGGGGAAGAUUGCACAAGGGGCGCAAGCCAGAUGCAGCAAUGCCUGGUGUAUGAAGAAGGCCUUCGGGUUGUAAAGUACUGUCAGCGAGGAGGCGUUACCCGCAGAAGAAGCACCGGCUAACUCCGUGCCAGCAGCCGCGGUAAUUC